AACUCAAUACAGACAAUUGCUACACACGGUGCGAGUUGCCCAAGGAAUUUUUGUAAACUGCCUAACCAUAGCCUUGUAUUUGCCUCAAAAUGAUGCAAACUUUGCAUCUCUCUUCUCGCAUAGUCUUUUUUCAAACUACCCAAAAUGAUCAAACAAUUUCCCCCUUUUUUCCAAGCAAGUUAUUGAAUGAGUCAAGCAACUAACAUAGGGAACACAGGCAACUGAUAUAACAACAUCAUAAGUUUUUUUACAUUUUUACCCCCAAUAGGUGGGUGAAAGCAAGUUAAUUGAAUGAAUUAAGCAACUAACAUAAUGAACACAGGCAACUAAUACAUUUUUUUACUCUUUUUUUCUAGCAGGCCACUUUUAUGUGUUGAAGGAACGAUGGAAGAAGACAUGCCUUUUGUUGGGACAGAUGUGUUUUUCAAGUGUUUUGGGAUGGAAAAAUUCACCAAAAUAAGACUUUUAAGAUAACAAUGUGUGUUCUAUUCCAGAAACUAAAAGUAGUAGUAUCAGCAAAUUCAUAUAACUAUUUUUGCUUUUUCUUUGGUCUUAUUCUACCAGCAGUAACAAAACUACUACUGUGUGUUUUUAUGAUUAUUUUUUACCUAGUCCUUACAAUUUUUCCCUUACUAUGUUUGUCUAUGACUAUUUUUUUGCUUCACCAUGGUUUUUCCCUUACUAUGUUUCUUUAGAGGAGAAAAGCUACGAAGAAACGUUAGUUUUUUUGUUUCAUUCAUUUUUUGCAGGACCCACAUACAAAAAUAUCAAAGCCAUGGAAGGCCUAGAGCAGCUACUCUCCAGGUAAUCUCCAUACCAUGCACCAGUAGAUUACUUGCUUUACUAUCUAGAGAGGAACCAAUCGUGUGUGAUUUUACCGAUUUUUUGCACAUAGUUGAUUAAUGCCAGCAUUGGACUUGCUUUGAAAACAGCCCACCUAGAUGUUGGUGCUUUUAAAAAAGCUAAAUUCUAUCACCACAGCAAUGUACAAACCAAAUUAAAAUCCAUAGUUGCUUCUAGCCCUCUUUUUUCACCCUUAACACAUGACCACACAUGAAUUUGUUUGCUCUUAACAAUGUUUUUGCUCAAAACACCCCUAGAACUUGCUUCUGCUUUCUAGAGUUGCUAAAUGAUUGAACCGGACUUUGCUUAAAAAUAGCAGUGCACAAAGCAAAUUAAAAUUCAGAGAUGUGUUUACCCCAUUUUUUUUCACCCUCAACACAUGAGCACACAUGAGAGUUGCUUGUUUUUUACCACUGUGUUUGCUUAAAACAACCAUAAAAGUUGCCGCUCCUUUAUGUUUUCCAACACACCUUUUUACUAGUCCAAAAGCAAGCCUAAACACACAACAACCAGUACUUGGAAACAAAAGAGAAACGUACGCAGGCAUUCUGUUUUUUCAUCCCUUGCCGAGAGUUGCUUGUUGUCAAUACAUGUUUUGCUUAAAAUAUGCAUUGUAGUUACUCACUUCCUUUUUUGGGUUCUUUUCUUCUCUGCAACAGGUGUAGUGCAAAAAAAAGAUACUAGUUGCCCAGGGACCAGGUGCUUUUUUCUCUUCGAUGGGUGGUCACACAAGACGAUGGGGUGGAAGAAGAAAGAAGAGGGAGAAGAAGAAGGGCGUGGGGACAGCUUGGGAGAGAAGAAGAAAGGAGAGAGGGGGCAAUGCUUUUGGUGAAGCGCGUGAAGGGAGGGAGAGAAGCUGGGUGGACGGAGGGACGUGGGAGACGGUGAACCCUUUCCUUUCCAAAUCUGGACUGAGGGGGGACCAAAACAUACCUAAUAUGGGAGGCUGCCAGGGGGCACUAGCGGGCACACGUUUGCCCGCUAGACGCGUCCAAAAAACAAUUAAUUCACUUUGAAGAAAGAGAGAUCAAUCAUGGGAAAAAGGGUUGGACAACAAGUGCAUGCACGCUUGAGAAUUCGUAUAUACUAGAUCGGGUCCGCGCCUUGGCGCGAGGGUGCCGGUCCCAACGGAUAAUAAUAAAGUGAAAAAGAAACAUGAUAGAAGGAAGACAUAGUGAUGCUCAAUAUCGGCAAAAGAUUAUAAGGUAACAUCAAGUUCAGUGUGUUCACAAGACCAUAAAAAAUAGGCAACACACCUUGAUGCAGGGUGCCCGAAGGACAUUAGCUGCCAUUAAGUUUAGUACAACAGUGCCGGGUGCCAAAGGACAUUAGCUGACAUUAAGUUUAGUACAACAGCAGGAGCAUGAGAGCAAAAGCCUAAGACACAAUUCUCAAGGAAGGAUAUGAUUCAGUAAAAUGUAAGAAUGUCCAAUAUAGUGGUUCAUAUGCAUAGAGUGGGUCAUACGAUCAUGAUGCAUGAUAUAGCAAAAGAUAUCUUGCGUCAACACAUCUUGCCCGCUUGUUCACAGUUUUGCCUCAGCCAUGGCCUUCUUGAUGUCGUCUUCUCCUGAUAGCAGCAAGGCAUUAGCAAUUAGAAGCCAGGGAGUGAGCAUGACUGGAAAAGCAAUACAUGCGAUUCCAAUUCCUUUUCAGGUAGGAUAUGGUGCAAUAUUUACAUAGACCAUAUCCAGAUCAUAGUAGUGCAUAGUUCCUUAUAAGUUGUACAAAACAAACAGCAGCACACUACAGAAGAUAGGAAUGCGCAAUGAGACCUUUAGCUAGGUCUGAUAGCUUGGUUUUUAAGUUACUUUGAGGCAAAAGACAUCUGGUUCUUCACCUCAAAAUGAUUUGCAUGUAGGAAUAUCAGAAUAUGAUUCUGAAACCAUGGCACUUGGCUGGUUAGUAUGGUUUGUCAUCACAUUCAGUUGCUUUCAGAAUGGAAAAGGACAAGUAAUAAUUGGAAAGAACCAUAUAUUCUGCCUAUGCCAUAUCAGUGUUUAAUUGGUCGGGCCAUAUAUAAACCUUUUACCACGGGGUGUUCCUUUAUUCUGCUUCAAGAAUAGACAGGAAUGACAUAAAUACGUGCAUAGCACUGUUAACUAAGAAAGGGAAGAUUAAAUUUGGGAGUACACAGGCAAGCCAAGUCAGGUACGAAAUAUAGCAGAUAGCAAAGCAAUGUGAGAAUAGCCGUCAGAGUAUAGUGGCGUACCUUCCAUUCUCAAAGAGUUGAUUGGUUUAUGACGAUGGUUCCAGGAGAAAGCUGCAAUAGAAAAAAAAUAAGAUAUUCUUACAAAGAAGGUCCAAUGGUUUAAGCAGGAUAUGGUAAUAAAUAUACAUGAUAUGUGAACUUUAAAACUAUUGCAGAGAGGUAAAUGCAGAUUUCUAAGGAACAUAUUGUACUAAUUGUUCAGGCAAAGCAAAAAAAUAAAUUAAAUUGGGUCCAUGAUGUAUAGGUGGGUCAAUGCUUCAAGGAUUAUGGCUUGUGGUAGGGCUACCUUCAUAAAAAUGAGACAGAAUGAACAUCGUCAGUGGCGGCCAUACGUGGAGUUGAGACAGAAAUAAAUCAUUGAGAAUAAUUUAUAGUUUCUUUAAAUGGAACUUGUCCAAAUCGCAAUUGUGAUGCAACUACAAUGAGAAGUGGUCGCCGACCAUAUGACAAUGCUAAGAUUCUGUAAAGCAUGCAAUACCAAGCCCAUAAUUCUAUAGAAGUUCAUUUGCAGAAGAUAAAUAUACUUGCAUAGCUACUGCUGGAGAGCAUCAACGGUGGCAUCUUAUUUGCCAACUAUAUUAUUCCUAUUUAUACACAACAUAUUUUGACUACUGCACAAGUUUUCAUACAAGAGUUCUGGAUUAAAUAAAAUAUGGAUCUUACCCAUUAUAUCCUAUAAUAUUUCCAUACAGAGCGAAGGCAGCAAACAUGAAUCCAACAUACCAACUGCAACUCCACAAGGCCUAUCACUGACAAACAAAAUAGCACCUGCAUCAAGAAGACGACACAGUCACACAUCUCACCGGGGGAAAAGGUUUUUUAUACUCGAGAGACCAAACUGAUGGCAGCAUCCAAUAUUAAAGACCACAUAUUCAAGAAGGAAACUAAACUUCUAGAAGCAAAGUUUUUUUCUUCAAUCACAUAUAAAAAACAGAGUUUCCAACUGUGUAUAACUACUUUUUAUGCAUGCACAAAUUUAGAGAUUGCCAAUAUCCUAUGCCUGCUGGAUAUUAGAAAUGCAGGAAGCAAUCGUAGUUCUUUUGGAACCAAGUCAACAAAAGAACUCGGAGACGAAAUAUGAUACUCAAACCUCACAGUUUAGGCUAUCUAAUGAGAUUCUUCCAGUGAAAACUGCAUAACUUUAAAGUAAAUGCCAAGUAUCACUAAAUGUGUGCUUGAAAACUGACAAAGCUCACAGAUUUAGUUUAGAUUCACCUAAACUAAAUGUGUGCUUGAAAACUGCAUAACUUACAAGCAAAUAGCAAAUAUCACUAAUAAUAUCAAAACAAAAAAGGAUGGACAAAAUAUAAGAUUCAUGUACCAAUCAGAACUGAGAUUCUCCGAGUCCCACGUCAAACAUUCAGUCAUAAAAUAUAUUCUUUAUCAGGUUUUCAAUAUCACAACAGGUUAACAAUCACACUAUCAAUGUAAGGUAUUAUCAGCAAUGAAGACUAAAAAACACAUAUUGAAACCAUAUACAGGGCGGAGCCGGCGAGGCUGCUGGGGCCACCCGACAACCUCAAGGCCAUACUAAUGAACAAACGCUUCCUAGUAUACAUCAGGGGUUCACAUAUGUUAUAGUUUGCUAUCUAGAACAGUCUGGACAUGAACUUAAUUCUAUUGGAUAAUUCAAAAUGUGGUGUUGCAUAUACAGUAGCUAGCAGAUACUAUACUUGAACUAAAAACUAAACCUAUAGUUGUCUGCUCUCUGAUUUCAAAGUAGCAUGGUUCAAUUCAUGUAAGGCAAGAAACACAUCGGUUUGAAACUAUUAGGAACAGGGGCACAAGCGUAGCUUAGAAGUGGAAUAAGUAAUGUACUCCUCUCUCUCUCUCUCGCUCAAAAUUACAGCACUGCACUUGUUCCUAACUCAUGUUGUGAUGACUAAGUUAUAUGAGUCUAAGUGCAUGUGUUUUUGUGUGUCUGCAUAAGUUGAUCUAAGUUCACCAUACGGUAACCGGCCACGUCCGAAUAAAUUCAUUCAUGAUAUUUCUUUGCUUGCUACUACACGCCAGGUCCAACUUCACACACCUUUUCUUCGUUGAAGUUAUACUAACAGCAGCAUGGAAUAUUUGGAUUAUGCGAAAUGGCAGAACUUUCAGAGCUGAGAGAGCUACUUUCAGUGCUUGGAAGUGUAAAUUCAUCCAUGAUAUUUCUUUGCUUGCUCACAGGGUGAAGGACUGUAACAAGCCAAAGCUUUUGGCUUGGAUUGCUUCUUUGUUGUAAAGCAAGUACAGUUAGUUAGCAAAUAGGUAGACUCUUUCCCCUUUUGUUUUUCUUCUUUGUAUAGUUUGUUUUUACUUGUACAGUGGUACUUUUUCUAAUAAAGGACUGUGGGGCUUUGCCUCACAGUAAAUAUUCAAAAAAAAACGUCCGAAUAAAUUCAAAUGCCCAAACAAAAUAAUUCAUAUCCAAGUCCCAAAUGGUUACUACAAUGAAAAUAAAUUUGAGAUCAGAGAGCAGUUAAAGGAAGACAUACAACACAGUUUCGACAUUCAGUCCAGGAGUGCAUAUACUUCUAAAGAACAUGACUUAGUUUAUUUAUGUAGCAUGGAUCCUUUCAUUUGAAGUAGGGAAGCACAUGAAUUUCGGCUACUGCACGUGAGAAUAGGCGCUGGCUUGGGGCGCAAGGUAAGGAUCGAAAUACCUUGGGGUGGUGUGGAAAUGGCGGGGUCACCAGCAUCGAUUCCGCACCGUGGAGAAAUCUGUAGCAGUACAAUAAGCCUCUGAAGCAAAUAAGCUUAUGGAUAAAGUUACGUAUCUGAUCUGUCAAAAGGGGGAAAAUAGAUCAAAAAAAUCUUACUAUUUAAAAAGCUAGUGCAUUUAUAUGCUUGUAAGCCUAACUGAAUUAGCAUAUAGGCACACCAAAUUUCAGGAUAUCCAUGUAAUUGGUAUAGGAGCAGUAACCAUGUGCAUAUCAAUGAGCAGAAAAAUAAUAUGAGCACAUUUCUUUCUUCCGAUAUCAAACAAAUAUCACAUAUCACAGGGCAGUUAUAAGAGCAUGCAUCAAGCUUAAACAGGAAAUUUGAGAUGACAUCGCCGCCACACAUUGUAUAUACACAUACCUUCAUCGUCAACUGAUGUAUAUCAGAUUGUUAUUGCUUGGCCCUUUCACAGUGUGGCUAGCUCGAAUGGUCGGCUUUUUGGCAGGGCGGUGUUCCCUUAAAAUCUGAUCAUACAAAAAGUCACAAAUUUCACACAUCACAUCACUGUCAUAAGAACAUGCACAGAGGUUAAAUUAAGAAGUCCAAGACAAAUUCAAUGUAGUAUCCAUAUUUUUAGAACGGCAAACAAUUAUUUGUAAGACAGUGCAUGAUAUUUUGUACCAUAAAGUAAUCUUAUAAUGUUGCAGGCAUGACCAUGAGGUUAUAUUCAAGUUUUACCUUCAUUGUCACGGAUGCAUAUCAAAUUGCUGCUCCUUGACCCUUUGAUAAUGUGGCUUUAUGAGAAUACAACGCUACUGAAUUAAAUGAUGAAAGUUGAAACAACCAGCAAAGUGGAGCAAUAAUGGAUGCAGAAUCGAUGGCUUAGCGUUGUAACAUCAGAGACUUGGCUCCAGCAUUUAGUAUGGUUCUUCAUCUUUUUUUGGUAUAAUCAACAGUAGCAACAUUUUCACAGUUAUACUAGAAUGCUCAUAAAGGAAUCGUCUAAUGAGAAAUCACAACAACUAAUCUAUGUUGCAUCUUAUAAGGGAAGCUACAGACUGCAACAUAAUACAUCAAUUACAAAAAUGCAUCUAGAUCCAAUGUUUGACCGCAUAAUAAGCCACCAACAGCACAAGAAAAGCCUAAAUGUCCCCUUCCUUGGAACCUAGCUAGACUAAAAGCAACAAAAACAAGCUCACCUCGACCGGCGCCACUGCUCCACCGCUCCCUCCUGCGCGCGUCCGCCACUCCCUCCUGCGCGCGUCCGGCACUCCCUCGCGAGGGCCGACUGCGAGCCGUGCUCUUCCUGAUGAGCACCAAGGGGGCGUGGAGGAGGAAACGGCACGACAACGCAAGGGCGAGCAGAGGCGGAGGCGGCGGCGCAGCCACGUCUCCCGUGCUCCUCUUGCCGUGUGCACGCGAGGACAACGACGACGACGCCGUGGACGCGGACGGCGGGGACCGGCAGGCCGGGAGAAGGAGCCGGCGGCGGUGUGGGGUGCAGCUAGGGUUAGCGGGUUGAGGCUGAGCCCCCUGCCGCCCCGCAACGCCUGGAACUGCCGCUUGGUGGCGGGCGGGGCUUCUGGGCGCGGGCGGGGGUUGCUGUUUCUUCGAGAGGCGGGAGGCGGUGGGGAGGAAAGGAGGCGGGAGGCGGUGGGGAGGAGAGGAGAAGAGGGGAAGAGCGCGGGGAGGAGAGGAGGGGAAGAGAGGAGGCGGGCUCGAGGGGGAGGGGAACGACCAGCACGCUCUCAACCUCUCACGGUCUCAACCCUAGUUGGGCACUUUGCCAACAAUGUGAAAUUACGAAAAUGCCCUUGGCGGGGCACGAGAAUUACACACGGUGGCAUGAGAUUUUUACAGCGAGAGGUAACUAUUCAUUGCAACAGUGACACCUCUUCGAUCCGACGGCCGAGGUCUUCCAAGGACUCGAUCCGACGGCCGAGAUCCGAUCAAGCAACCAGAUCCGACGGCCGAGAGUCGCUCAGCUCUGAGAGAGCCCAUGUUCUCCCAAGUAACAUAUAUCUGGAUGUUUGUUGGCAAAAAACUUGGUUCGUUGAUCUGAGCGCGUGAGCAAAGAAAACGACAUCUUCUCGUAAACACAGAAACGAAUUCCAUCGUAAGUUGGCUCACGCGCGCUCGGCUCGGCUGAAAAAUGGAGUAGAAUAAUUUUUUCGCCUUGACCCUGGAAAUGGAGAAAAUGGAGCGACAAAUUUUCCAUUGCGAUUGCCGAUUGGAACUGCACGUCCAUUGAAAACAUUAACGGAAAUGCGCUUGUAUGCAUCCCCACUCACCCAAGUCAAGUCAAAGCACUACAAAAGUCAAGGUAGGGGCAGUGCGGCCAUUACUCUAGCGGGACAUAGACCUCCAGUCCAGGGUGCAGCGAGCGGCCCAACCUUGGCGCUUCCGUGCUGCAGAGUCAUGGAACAGCCUUGCUCAUGUCAAGGGCUAGUGAAUAGUGAUUCAGCUACUCCCGAGUAGACACACACUGGAACCGUAGUAGCAACCAUAGAAAGCUGAAGUCAAAUGCAUGCGGCAUGCCCUGCCCUCUCGCAGUCGCAGAACAGAGCUGCCAUGCCAUCAGCCCAAAGUCCAAACCACACAGAAGAGAGAGCUGCCUGCGCUGCAGUAACGGCGAGCGACCAAGCACCACUCCUCGGGUCAUCCAUGAAAACAGCACCACUCUUCGGCUCGGCUCUUCCUCCUCUCAACAUCAGACUCCAUUCCACAUUGGAAUUCCACUUCACUUCUCGCGCUGUCCAAAUGCUGUCCGCCGACGCCCUGCUGCCGGAGGGCGCGACGCCGUUGGAGAUUCCCUCCGACCGUCCGGCCAACUUGUGCCAUUUCAAGGGCCCUAAGGUCCCUGCCGCCGCCACCGCGGUCCGCGGCCUCACCGACGUAUCCUCCCGGACUCCAUCAUCAAGCUGUACUGUCGCGAUGGUUCGAGGGCGCACCACCACCACGCGGGGCGCAUCGCCUACGCCUGCAUCACCCCUCCGUGCGGCACGGACCCGGAGCCCUUCAUCCGCCGCGUCUUCCGCACCCUGGCGCUCGACCUGCAACAGAACUUCCAGUUCCUCCGUCCCGCCUUGCGCUCCGGUGACAUUCUUAUGUCAUUCCGCAGGCCUUGUGACCGGGAGGCGGCCAUGCGCAGGCAGCCGUUCCAGCUCGACGGCGUCGCGGUGAAGCUCGUGCCCGUUGAAAUGGUCACCGAUGUCUCCCGCGGCGGCGGCUACAUGGUCCACGCAGCGCGGCACGACUACCCUGUCGAGCAGCGGACGGGGAUACACACCGCGGACAACUGCCGCAGCUUUGGGCUCGUGCGCGAGAUCGACCGCGCCUGCUUCGCAGCGCCCGACCUCUCCACCGUCCGCGUCAUCCUUCAGGUCGAGCACCCUCGAGCAAUCCCCCGCGAGCUCCGGAUCUACUACGACGAUUGCUCCGCCAGCGUCGUCCCCAUCGAGAUCGUCAGGGUUUGGGACUGGUCGCACUCCUACGACGCCAAUGGGAAGUUCUUGCCUCUCUUCAAGCCCCCACCUGCAAGGCCAAAUAACGAAGACUAGGAACUGGAGCCUCCUGGACGCUCCUGUAUGUAGUCAAAAUGCAUGUGUCUUUUGUCCAAUACUAGUAAAAAUGGUCUGCCCUUGUGUCUUUUGUUCAUAUACUGUAUCUCCUAUCAUAUGCAGAAUUGAAGUGUGAAAACAGUAUGAAGCAUGGUAUUCAUCAAGAUAGAGAUAACUGUACGGUCACACAAUACUAUCAGUCGUUCACCCCAGACCUGGCCACCUGGGCCGGCCCAGGGCUAAACAUGCCUGGCACAGCACAGCCCACCACAACACGUUUACUAAACACACCUAAAAAAAACACGUUUACUAAACAGGUCAUGCUGAGCCGUGCCGGCCCGCGUGCUGCGCCCCAGGCACAUGCACGACCCCUAUAGUAAACGGGCCGGAGCGCAGCAUGUUCGGCCCAUGUGGGCUGCAUGCUUUUCGGCCUAAUGAGCUACUUGGGCUGGUUUUGUGGGCCUAUAUAUUUAUAAACGAUAAACAAGCCGUGUUGUACCAGCAUGCGGGCCUUGCCUCGCAGCUCAGACACGGGCCAAGGCUUGCUGCAUGCCAGGCCAGGCCUAUGACGGGUCGAGCACGUGUGCGGUGGCCCACUUGGCCAAGUUUGGUUCACCCCUUUGAUGAGCUCAUUGGCUCUCUAUAAAGUGCCGAUCAAGGUCAAGAUCUCCGAAUGGCUUCUCUUCAGGGAUCACCUCAACACCAACCACGACCUCCUCAAGUAAAUUAUUACUACUGAUUGUAUUCAUCCAUUGUACGGCUGCGAUACAGGUUUGGAACGCACUAUAGUUCGUCGCCCCGCACUCCCUUACUAUGAUUUUGGACAUACCCGAGCAGGAUGGCCUCGACAACAACAUUUGGCCUUCGAUGGCUCUCUCAAUUCUGUGGAAAAAUUGAGAAUUCACGAACAACUGGUCUUUCGCGCGGAAGAGAAUUCCCCUAGGGUUACUGUCAUAAAUAUUACAAAAGAUUUCUCCCUCUAGACUUUUAGAUUCACUCAUAAGAAUGUGGUAGUCGUGUCUUGGCGCCAAUAAUUCUCUUUGUGCGUUAGCGCUGUCUUGUAACCUGCCUUUGGCGCUUUGAGUAAUGCAUUCAUGCGUGUAUCCUCUCCACUUCGGCAAUUGUUCAAAAAAUACUAUCAGUUGUUCCGAAGAAUGCACGAAGUACAUUUUGAUGCAAUACAUGGUUCAUAGAUAAUAAUAAAAAGAAGGGACCCUGAUAACCACCGAAAGUUAGAUUUUGACGUAACUUAGAACAAACAAAGACGUUUGGUACCUUUUUUUAGUGGAAGACGUUCGGUAUGUGAGAACGCUGGACCAAACGUUUUUGUUUGAUACGUUCGACCGGCAGCCCGAACUCCCUUCCCCACCGCUAUACAUGCCUUUUUACUGAGAAAAAGAAAAGAGAAAAUAAAUAAGUGUUGGGGAACGUAGUAUUUCAAAAAAUUUUCUACGAUCACGCAAGAUCUAUCUAUGAGAAGCAUAACAACGAGCGGGGAGAGUGUGUCCACGUACACUCAUAGACCGAAAGCGGAAGCGUUUAUCAACGCGAUUGAUGUAGUCGUACGUCUUCACGAUCCGACCGAUCCUAGCACCGAACGUACGACACCUCCGUGUACAGCACAUGUUAAGCUCGAUGACGUCCCUCGUACUCUUGAUUCAGUUGAGGCCGAGGGAGAGUUCCGUCAGCACGACGGCAUGGCGACGGUGAUGAUGAAAUUACCGGCGCAGGGCUUUGCCUAAGAACUACGACGAUAUGACCGAGGUGUGUAACUGUGAAGGAGGGCACUGCACACGGCUAAAAGAUCAACUUGUGUGUUCUAGGGUGCCCCCGUGCCCCCGUAUAUAAAGGAGCGAGGGGGAGGCUGACCGGCCCUAGCUAGGUGCACCGGGAGAAGGGGAAUCCUACUAGGACUCCUAGUCCUAAUAGGUUUCCACCUAAAGGAGAAGGGGGAAGGAAGGGAGAGGGGGGCCGCGCCCCCAACCCCUUGUCCAAUUCGGACUGGGCUUAGGGGGGGUGCCACCUCCUGGCUGCUGCCUCUCCUUCCCUCUAAGGCCCACUAAGGCCCAUCAACUCCCCGCGGGGUUCUGGUAACUCCUCCGACACUCCGUUUUUACCCGAAACUAUCCGGAACACUUCCGGUGUCCGAAUAACAUGAUCCAGUAUAUCAAUGUUUAUGUCUCGACCAUUUCGAGACUCCUCGUCACGUCCAUGAUCUCAUCAAGGACUCCGAACAAACUUCGGUACAUCAAAUCACAUAACUCAUAAUACAAAUCGUCAUCGAACGUUAAGCGUGCGGACCCUACGGGUUCGAGAACUAUGUAGACAUGACCGAGACACAUCUCCGGUUAAUAACCAAUAGCGGAACCUGGAUGCUCAUAUUGGCUCCUACAUAUUAUACGAAGAUCUUUAUCGGUCAAACCGCAUAACAACAUACGUUGUUCCCUUUGUCAUCGGUAUGUUACUUGCCCGAGAUUCGAUCAUCGGUAUCAUCAUACCUAGUUCAAUCUCGUUACCGGCAAGUCUCUUUACUCGUUCCGUAAUACUUCAUCCCGCAACUAACUCAUUAGUCACAUUGCUUGCAAGGCUUAUAGUGAUGAGCAUUACCGAGAGGGCCCAGAGAUACCUCUCCAAAACACGGAGUGACAAAUCCUAAUCUCGAUCUAUGCCAACCCAACAAAUACCAUCGGAGACACCUGUAGAGCAUCUUUAUAAUCACCCAGUUACGUUGUGACGUUUGAUAGCACACUAAGUGUUCCUCCGGUAUUUGGGAGUUGCAUAAUCUCAUAGUCAUAGGAACAUGUAUAAGUCAUGAAGAAAGCAAUAGCAAUAAACAUGAACGAUCAUAGUGCUAAGCUAACGGAUGGGUCUUGUCCAUCACAUCAUUCUCUAAUGAUGUGAUCCCGUUCAUCAAAUGACAACACAUAUCUAUGGCUAGGAAAAUUAACCAUCUUUGAUUAACGAGCUAGUCAAGUAGAGGCAUACUAGGGACACUUUGUUUGUCUAUGUAUUCACACAUGUACUAAGUUUUCGGUUAAUACAGUUCUAGCAUGAAUAAUAAACAUUUACCAUGAUAUAAGGAAAUAUAAAUAACAACUUUAUUAUUGCCUCUAGGGCAUAUUUCCUUCGAUAAGGACCGAUUUUGUCUCUGACUAAAAAAAACCUCAGUUUUUGCUUGACCAAUAAAAAGCCCAUUUUUGUUGUUGUGACUAAUAAAGCGGAAUUUUUUGCAAUGCUAUGAAAAAAUUGUCAAUGCCCAAAAAUAGAGGGAAAUAAAUUUGACAUACAGCGAUGAAAAACGAUAUAUCAUGGAUUGUUUUAGUAAAAAUUGCCAUAGUUCAAAAUACAAAAAAAAAAUGCCAAUAGACCAUGAAAAAAAGAUUGCCAUCAUCUUUUUUUUAGAAACGGAAUUGCCAUCAUCUUUAAAAGCAGCAUUUGCCAUGGUCCAGUUUUUUUAAUAGCGCAAGAAAAUAAAAAGGCAUGGCAGUUUGCAUCUGUACAUAG
rnacentral:lncRNA from 1 species